CAAUACUUAGUGGCAGACGGGUGAGUAACAUGUAGGUAUCUGCCCUUUGGCCUGGAAUAACACGAGGAAACUUGUGCUAAUACCGGAUAAGUCUUUACGGAGAAAGCUUUAUGCACCAUUGGAUGAGCCUGCACUUGAUUAGUUUGUUGGUGGGGUAAUGGCCUACCAAGACUGUGAUCAAUAGCUGAUUUGAGAGGAUGAUCAGCCACAUUGGGACUGAGACACGGCCCAAACUCCUACGGGAGGCAGCAGUGGGGAGUCUUGCACAAUGGAGGAAACUCUGAUGCAGCGAUGCCGCGUGAGUGAAGAAGGCCUUUGGGUUGUAAAGCUCUUUCGUCGGGGAAGAAAAUGACUGUACCCGAAUAAGAAGGUCCGGCUAACUUCGUGCCAGCAGCCGCGGUAAUACGAAGGGACCUAGCGUAGUUCGGAAUUACUGGGCUUAAAGAGUUCGUAGGUGGUUGAAAAAGUUGGUGGUGAAAUCCCAGAGCUUAACUCUGGAGCUGCCAUCAAAGCUUUUCAGCUAGAGUAUGAUAGAGGAAAGCAGAAUUUCUAGUGUAGAGGUGAAAUUCGUAGAUAUUAGAAAGAAUACCAAUUGCGAAGGCAGCUUUCUGGAUCAUUACUGACACUGAGGAACGAAAGCAUGGGUAGCGAAGAGGAUUAGAUACCCUCGUGGUCCAUGCCGUAAGCGAUGUGUGUUAGACGUUGGAAAUUUAUUUUCAGUGUCGCAGCGAAAGCGUUAAACACACCGCCUGGGGAGUACGACCGCAAGGUUAAAACUCAAAUGAAUUGACGGGGACCCGCACAAGUAGUGG
rnacentral:rRNA from 1 species